CUAGAAACUUCCAGGCAGGUGUGUUGAGGCAAGUUCACUGAAAUAAUUAUUCAUUGAAUUUACUAAAUUUUUUUAAGUGUUGGAGCUAAACUCUGCAGGACACUGGCCCUCCAGGACCGAGUUUGGACAGCCCUGCUUUAAAACUAUGAAGUAAGUCAACAAACAAUUCAGGACAGAAAUUGUGCUGUGAAAGUCAUUUUUAUGGGAUUUUGCGCUGUGCUCCGGGCAGCAUUAGUCGAUUCAAUCUCAGAGACAGCCGGAGUCAUUCAGCCCUCAGUCACAGUCUGUUCAGAGCGGCGCGGCAGGAAGCGAGUCUGGCUGAAGAUGUGUUCCUCUGAUGCUGCCGUGGCUCCAAAGAAAGACGACACCUGAUCUUAUAUCAACCUGCCAGAGCUCCUGACUGAUAUCAUUACCUUCUUUUCUCCAUUGCCUUUUAUCUUCCAGGGGCAUUUAAAAGGUUUUGCCAUCUGUCCAAACUAUAAAUGCACCGUCCUUGAAUCUAAUGUUUCCUAUUCUCUCUUCCUUUGUCCCCAUCUCAAGAUGGUUGGUUCUUCUUUAGGCUGUUGCUGUUUUCUCUCUCUCUGUGCUUUACGGGCACUCAGGCAGCUUGAAUAUACAGCGGAAUCAAAGUGUUUGGAUAUUUAAGUAACACUUCAUGUCUGAAUGUCACUGCGUCAGAUAAAACGUAAAACCAGGUGGCAUUUAUUUGGGAAAAGG